rnacentral:lncRNA from 1 species
GUGUUAUGGUACCCAGAAUGCCCUGAGACCUCUCUCGUAAAUUAUAGAGGUCAUAGUAGUCUGAGAGCUUUAACAUCAUUUUAGAAACAUUCAUUACGAAAAUACAGUAUAUCAUUCCGACCCAAACACUAGGUACUGGACCGAAUGCUCGUUUAUUUUACUGCAAUAACCAACGUCUUUUGGGACUCGCUGUGGCCUUGCAGCAUGGAAACAUGUGCGUUUCACGAUGACGUCACCAAUUGGAAUCAAUGCCCCUCCCAGUCCAUGGUUGUUUGUAAACAGAGUAUGGUGGUGGAGGGGAGGGUGAAGACAUUAACACCUCUUUGCAAGAAGAACAUGAUCACACCUCUAGUGACAAGACCUGAGCCCUAGGACCAUGCCUCAGGACUACCUGGUAUGAUGACUCCUUGCUGUCCCCAGUCCACCUGGCCGUGCUGCUGCUCCAGUUUCAACUGUUCUGCCUGCGGCUAUGGAACCCUGACCUGUUCAUCGGACGUGCUUGUUGCACCCUCGACAACUACUAUGAUUAUUAUUAUUUGACCAUGCUGGUCAUUUAUUUACAUUUUAACAUUUUAACAUCUUGACCAUGUUCUGUUAUAAUAUCCACCCUGCACAGCCAGAAGAGGACUGGCCACCCCUCAUAGCCUGGUUCCUCUCUAGGUUUCUUCCUAGGUUUUUGGCCUUUCUAGGGAGUUUUUCCUAGGGAGUUUUUCCUAGCCACCGUGCUUCUUUCACAUGCAUUGCUUGCUGUUUGGGGUUUUAGGCUGGGUUUCUGUACAGCACUUUCAGAUAUCAGCUGAUGUACGAAGGGCUAUAUAAAAAUAAAUUUGAUUUGAUUGAUUUGAUUUUGCAGGGCUCUGGCAGUGCUCCUCCUUGCACAAAGGCGGAGGUAGCGGUCCUGCUGCAGGGUUGAUGCCAUCCUACGGCCUCCUCCACGUCUCCUGAUGUACUGGCCUGUCUCUUGGUAGCGCCUCCAUGCUCUGGACACUACGCUGACAGACACAGCAAACCUUCUUGCCACAGCUCGCAUUGAUGUGCCAUCCUGGAUGAGCUGCACUACCUGAGCCACUUGUGUGGGUUGUAGACUCCGUCUCAUGCUACCACUAGAGCGAAAGCCCCGCCAGCAUUCAAAAGUGACCAAAACAUCAG